rnacentral:rRNA from 1 species
UACGUAGGGUGCGAGCGUUGUCCGGAUUUAUUGGGCGUAAAGAGCGUGUAGGCGGCCGCACAGGUCCGUUGUGAAAACUGGAGGCUUAACCUUCAGACGUCGAUGGAAACCGUGCGGCUAGAGUCCGGAAGAGGAGAAUGGAAUUCCUGGUGUAGCGGUGAAAUGCGCAGAUAUCAGGAAGAACACCCGUGGCUAAGGCGGUUCUCUAGUACGGUACUGACGCUGAGACGCGAAAGCGUGGGGAGCGAACAGG